CCUCCGUAAGCUCAAACCCACACACGUGUCGACACGAUGGCCUGGGUGCCCGGUUUCCUCGGAGAUGCGGGUUGGUCAUUGGGAUACGUGGAGGCCCAAC
rnacentral:sRNA from 1 species